GCGAAUAGGGUUUGUUAGUCAUCAGACGAAUUUUGUUUUUCACGGAGAGUUGAACAAAAAAGACACUUUCAGUGUCCUGCUCCUUCAUCGAGUACCAUGUGUACGGGUAUUGCACCUCGGGUUUUAAACACCAUGAAGGAAUUUGCUUCGUUCACUUCAUUUUGAUUUCCUCAUCACCAACCCUUUUACCGAUUUCAUCCACCACGGACCUUUGCAGACUCUCGACCCCUCCAUAGGAUCCCGGGUUUGAAGGAGUGAAAUAAAUAUUUUUCAGCAGACGUUCAGUCAUGGUGAAAUGAUUGAAACACAAUGAAGAGAGUGCUAGAAUGGAUUAUGGUUUUAUAAACAUCUUUUCAGCAAAAGAGGUUAUGUUUACGUUACGUUCAAUUAAAAAUGAAAGCAUGCAAUCAAAGGUUUUAUAUACAUCAACCUUUUCAUCGUUACUUAGUUUCAAAACACAUACAUCUAUUACAUAGGUGAAUAUACAUAAUAUAUGCCUGUUUUUACAUUCAUUUGGGUUUUCAAUGAUAUGAGAAAUAA